rnacentral:rRNA from 1 species
AUUGAACGCUGGCGGCAGGCUUAACACAUGCAAGUCGAACGAGUGGCGGACGGGUGAGUAAUGCUUGGGAAUCUAGCUUGUGAAGGGGGAUAACUACCGGAAACUGUAGCUACUACCGCGUACUAUAGGAUGGGCCCAAGUGGGAUUAGGUAGUUGGUGGGGUAAAGGCUCACCAAGCCGACGAUCACUAGCGGGUCUGAGAGGAUGACCCGCAACACUGGGACUGAGACACGGCCCAGACUCCUACGGGAGGCAGCAGUGGGGAAUUUUGGGCAAGGGGGGCAAGCUGAGGCAGCCAUGCCGCGUGACUGAAGAAGGCCUUCGGGUUGUAAAGUACUUUUGGCAGGGAGGCGGUACCUGAAGAAGAAGCACCGGCUAACUACGUGCCAGCCGCCGCGGUAAUAC